rnacentral:rRNA from 1 species
UAGGGAAUCUUCCACAAUGGACGCAAGUCUGAUGGAGCAACGCCGCGUGAGUGAAGAAGGUUUUCGGAUCGUAAAGCUCUGUUGUUGGUGAAGAAGGAUAGAGGCAGUAACUGGUCUUUAUUUGACGGUAAUCAACCAGAAAGUCACGGCUAACUACGUGCCAGCAUCCGCGGUAAUACGUAGGUGGCAAGCGUUGUCCGGAUUUAUUGGGCGUAAAGCGAGCGCAGGCGGAAUGAUAAGUCUGAUGUGAAAGCCCACGGCUCAACCGUGGAACUGCAUCGGGAACUGUCAUUCUUGAGUGCAGAAGAGGAGAGUGGAAUUCCAUGUGUAGCGGUGGAAUGCGUAGAUAUAUGGAAGAACACCAGUGGCGAAGGCGGCUCUCUGGUCUGCAACUGACGCUGAGGCUCGAAAGCAUGGGUAGCGAACAGG